rnacentral:tRNA from 1 species
GGCGCCGUCGUCUAGUUGGUCUAGGACGUGGGCUUUUCAGGCCCAAAAUCGCGGGUUCGAAUCCCGCCGGCGCUGCCA